ACCGACAGCCCAGUACAUCGGCUGCCCGCCCGGGUACUACGAGCACGAGCUUAAAACCCAAAGGACUUGACGGUGCUUUACAUCCCCCUAGAGGAGCCUGUCCUAGAACCGAUAACCCCCGUUAAACCUCACCUUUCCUUGCUCGUACCGCCUAUAUACCACCGUCUCCAGCCUACCCUUUGAAGGACUCAUAGUGGGCAGAAUUGGCUAUACCCCAGAACGCCAGGUCGAGGUGUAGCGUAUGGAAAGGGAAGAGAUGGGCUACAUUCAAUGAACCAAUGAAUACGGAUACUUGAUUGAAACAUUAAGUUCUUUUUGAAGGAGGAUUUAGUAGUAAGUCGGG
rnacentral:rRNA from 1 species